CGGUUGAUCCUGCCGGAGGUUACUGCUAUCGAGGUUCGACUAAGCCAUGCGAGUCGAAUGUAGCAAUACAUGGCGUACUGCUCAGUAACACGUGGACAACCUACCCUUGGGACGGGGAUAAACCCGGGAAACUGGGUAUAAUACCCGAUAGAUCUCGACUGCUGGAAUGCAUCGAGUUCGAAAGCUCCGGCGCCCAAGGAUGGGUCUGCGGCCUAUCAGGUAGUAGUGGGUGUAGCGUACCUACUAGCCUACGACGGGUACGGGUUGUGAGAGCAAGAGCCCGGAGAUGGAUUCUGAGACACGAAUCCAGGCCCUACGGGGUGCAGCAGGCGCGAAAACUUUACAAUGCUGGAAACAGCGAUAAGGGAACCUCGAGUGCCAGGUUACAAAUCUGGCUGUCGUGAUGCCUAAAAAGCAUUGCAUAGCAAGGGCCGGGCAAGACCGGUGCCAGCCGCCGCGGUAACACCGGCGGCUCGAGUGGUAACCGUUAUUAUUGGGUCUAAAGGGUCUGUAGCCGGCCGGAUAAGUCUCUUGGGAAAUCUGGCAGCUUAACUGUCAGGCUUUCAGGGGAUACUGUCUGGCUCGAGGCCGGGAGAGGUGAGAGGUACUUCAGGGGUAGGGGUGAAAUCUUGUAAUCCUUGAAGGACCACCAGUGGCGAAGGCGUCUCACCAGAACGGACCUGACGGCAAGGGACGAAAGCUAGGGGCACGAACCGGAUUAGAUACCCGGGUAGUCCUAGCCGUAAACGAUACUCGCUAGGUGUCGGCCACGGUGCGACCGUGGUCGGUGCCGUAGGGAAGCCGUGAAGCGAGCCACCUGGGAAGUACGGCCGCAAGGCUGAAACUUAAAGGAAUUGGCGGGGGAGCACCACAACGGGUGGAGCUUGCGGUUUAAUUGGAUUCAACGCCGG
rnacentral:rRNA from 1 species